rnacentral:rRNA from 1 species
AUUGAACGCUGGCGGCAGGCUUUACACAUGCAAGUCGAGCGAGCGGCGGACGGGUGAGUAAUGUAUGGGAAUCUGCCCGGUAGAGGGGGAUAACUACUGGAAACGGUGGCUAAUACCGCAUACUAUUGGAGGCGCCCAGAUGGGAUUAGCUAGUAGGUGGGGUAAAGGCUCACCUAGGCAACGAUCUCUAGCUGGUCUGAGAGGAUGAUCAGCCACACUGGGACUGAGACACGGCCCAGACUCCUACGGGAGGCAGCAGUGGGGAAUAUUGGACAAUGGGGGCAACCCUGAUCCAGCCAUGCCGCGUGUAUGAUGAAGGCUUAGGGUUGUAAAGUACUUUCAGCGGGGAAGCGUUACCUGCAGAAUAAGCACCGGCUAACUCCGUGCCAGCAGCCGCGGUAAUAC